GUUAAGCUUGGGGCGAGAGUAGUACUAGGAUGGGUGACCCCCUGGCAAGUCCUCGUGUUGCAACCC
rnacentral:rRNA from 1 species